AAACAACUCAUAAUUGAGUUUGAAUUUCAUGAAAAGGUGUGAGCCAAUUCGUCCUAAAGUCAAUGAAUAACAUCAACUAAUAUACAUGAAUAACUAGUUACUCUGAAGAGAGAACAACUACCAUCCUAGCACAAGUGAAGUUCAAUCCAAUCCAAACGAGCAUUCACAAUAUGCAAACUCGCACAUGAAGUAUUAAUGUUGCGAAUUCAUGUCAUAUCAACAUGUAGGGGGCAGAUUCCACCAAUCAUAACAAGUUUCAUAACCAUCAAAAGCUUCCGAGGCCAAAGGUUUCAAUCAAGUCAACAUUUGAGAGCAAAAUCAUGAUUCACAUCAAACAACAAUCAUAAGCAUCAUAAAUGGCAUAGAAUCACAAAGGGGCACAAAAACUUCCAGCAAGUAUAGAUUCACUGAUGCACGCCAUUCAACCCCUUUUGCUACGAGGCUAAUCAGCACUUUAGGGCCUGCACGGCUUGCAACCCUUCUUCUUCACCAUUCCUUGUUCCGUUCUUCCUUUCGAGCUCCAACCGUGUCUACUCCGUGUCCAUAGCCUCAUAGCCAGACCACCUGUCUCUAAAGUACCUGUGGACAACAAAUACUACAAAGAAACACAUCAAAUGAAGCGAAACGGUUCAAGUGAACAGGUCUAGGCACAUAAUGCCAAGACGCAAAACUACAUGAAAUUGAAGCUCAAACUAGCUAAUAUUCACUUCAAAAGCAUGCAGAAAGGGACAUAUAAUCACUACAAAUCCUAACAUUAUCGAUAGACAUCAAUAUAAUUCUAAUUUACGAAUUAAUAUAUCUUAUCAAUCUUUAAAAACUUGGCAUGCCAUGAAGAAUGCCAAAGCAACAAUGAAUCAAGCUUCAUCCUGAUAUCAAGGGCAACGCCUAUACCGUAACAACUAAGGCAGAAAACUAGUUGAAACAGGAAAUAACCUGAAACAAGCAAACAUUAAAAAUCAAAGGAAAAACUAGGACAAGUGCUCAAUGAUUACGGACAUUUUUUACACUAAAGGAAUUGUCAAAUACAUAAUGCAAACAGAGGUAAGCUACGUACUUAUUAUUAUUAUUAUUAUUAUUAUUUGUGUGUUAAAAGGGUUUCCUAAUUAAUUAAACCAUCAGUCGCUUUUAAAUCAUGUUAGGAAAGAUAACGACAUGGUGCCUAAAUGGUCCAAGGACACGAUUUGAUAUCGAUGAGUGCUACUAUAUAUAUUUUGUCAUUAUCAAUUUUAUUCUUGGAAAUAGGUAGCAUAUAUAAAGAUUGUCAACCGAUGGUCUUGCUGCUUUUAAUCACUGGGUGGGUGGUUAGCUUGUUAACAUCAGGAUUACCAUCCUAAAUAAUAACAACACAAAACAAUUCUUUUUGUUUUAACUUCCUUUUAGUCAUAAUUGUUUGUGGGUCAUUACUGAUUUGAUCACCACAAACAUCAUACGAAAAAUCCUUGUAAAGUGUGUAUACAAAGUAUAUAUAUUAGUUGUAUUCACUUUGAACAAAUCAUGGACAAACCCCAUAUAGAUUGUGUACAAUUUGUAUGAAUUAUACACAAACCCAUGAUUGAUUAGUUUGUAUUAUUUAUAUUUAUAGAUAGAUUUUUUGUGAAGACAAAAAGAUAGCACACAAAGAUCAAAAAUAUCUAAUCAACUUAUGGAGUGAGGAUUACUGGCAAUACUUCGGGGAGAUAUCUAAGGGCUAUGCGAGCCAGCAAUGCGUGACUUCAUUACCUGCCCGCCGUACUAUUUGAAAUGAAUGUCGGAUGCUGGGCUAAUGGUAAUCAAGGCCUUGAGAGUUGCUCCCACUAACAAGAUCGUUGAAGUUCGCUUCUUCAAAAUCAUGUGAUAAAGAUAAAUAUACAUUGAUCCUUCGAACAAACAUACAUAUAAGAUCAAAGAUAUAUCAAGUGACAACAAACUAGUCAGAUAAAAAAAGAUAACAUCACAAAAAGAAACUAAAUAAAAUAAAUCCAUGGUCAACUUGGCCGAAAUCCUUCAACUAAACAGUGGAGAUGAACGGAGGCGGUGAUCACGGCAAGGAAUCGGGCCCUUCCAAAGACGAAAAUCGUUAACCAACAAAUGAAUGUACCUGCUUGGCCAAACCCAAUGAUGGGUUUCCAUCACGACUCUGCAAGCCAGCAUUUGCCUCUCACAAACAAUCGGUAACGUGGAAAUCCAUGCGGAAUAUCCCAUGAAAUGAUGAUAGAAUGGUCAUCGACGCUGGACGGAAGAUAGCCGGAGCGGUUAGGAAGGCAGGAAAAUUAACUGUUCCAGAGAAAAAUUUCUUUGGUGUAAUUAUCAACUAUUAAAUAAUUACUUGUUUAUGGGGGUGGUUAGCUUGUUAACAUCAGG
rnacentral:lncRNA from 1 species